UGGGAGUGAUGAAUUCAAAGGACGACAC
rnacentral:piRNA from 1 species